GGGCCUGCGAACGCCUGCAAGGCUACCUUAAGUCUCACUGGACUGAAGGCUGGCUCCCGCGCUACUACUACUGUCCAAAACCUGGAUCUGUGCAAAAGAGCACAAAGCGUAGUAUCAGCACAACCGACCCCAUGUGCUGGUAAGUGUCUGGCCUAAACCCGGCGAGGUAGUGACGAGGCUAGGACCAGACUCCAGAUAAACCUGUACAGUUAUAUAAUAUAUGGCAGAAAAGUAAACAAGUAAUAAGAAGUUAAAGCUGGGGAAGAGGAACAUGCUUCGGGGAUAGCAGCUAAAAGAAAUAACAGGGAAUAAUAAGGAAAUUAGCACUAUAACUUCUAUCACAAAUGAAGAAAAUAAAGGCAACUUUCAGGCGUGCAACCCGAUCCCAUUUCUCAUAUCUCGUGGUAGGCGUACCACCCGCUCCCAUUUCAUUCUAUCUCGUGGUAGGCGUACCACCCGCUCUCAUUUCAUAGAAAACAUCUUGAACAUAGAGAAAUUCCUUUUUUUAUGAGAUUAUCCUGGGUUAAUACCGCCUCCUUUGCUAGUAGCCAAGUGAAGCAUGCUACCUUGUAUGGAAUCUUUGUUUUCCAUAUAUGUUUCCAAGGCCAUAGGUCUACCUGUUGAUUAUUAUGAUUCAAAAUCUUAUAUGCAUCCUUCGCCCGGUAAACCCCUCUGUUGUGCCUCUGCCACCAAAGUGAAUCAAACCCUUCCUGUAAUCCUUUAAAUGCUUCCAGCUCUUUGUAAAGGUCAGCUAAUCUUGUUAUCUCCCAGUCAUUCAGCUGUCUUCUGAGAGCGAUUUCCCAUCCUUGAUGACUCCUCAUAUCAGCUACUGUCUUAUGCUGGUUAUGUGCUAAACCAAACAUAUCGGGGUAUCUUUCCUUUAAGCUUCCGUGUCCUAACAAGUUAUCAUUCCAGAAUGAUGUGUUUCUUCCGUUUUUCACUCUAAUGGAGGAGUGGUUCUUCACUUUAAAUGCACUCACGGGAUUAAGAUUGAGUAUCGCACAAAGAACAAUUAUGAAGUGAAGGAAGAAGACCCCAAUGAAGGCAAAGAGAAAGAACCUUCUAAGGUUGUUGAAGACAACAUUCUGGCCAAUCUUGCAGUCUAUGCCAAAAUAAUUGUUAAACCUGUCGAGAAUUCCAACAAAAGUUGAAGUUUGGUUUGAAAUGUUUAAAUUUUCAUUUGUAUAGUGUACUACUGUGUGCGAGCUCUUUCCAAGCUAUCAUUGAAAGAAUCUCAAUAAAGAACUUCAAUAAGGAGAUAACAAGAUUCGCUUAUCAAAUACCUAUGCCAAAACUAAUGAAUAUGUUACUCAAGACAUGGAUGAUGUGUGAGGCAUAAUUACCGAGAAUUUUAUGACGCUCAAAUGUCAGUGAAAAAGCUAUUAAAUGAUAAAAGUAAUUAACUAAACAAGAGAAAUGCGUCAUCCCAUGACUUAACAAUUUUAGGGAAACUCUAAAUUUUCAUGCAGGCAUCUUUUAAAACUUUGUGCUUCAAUGAGAAAGAAGCACGUUUCAUUUGCCAAUUUUGAUUUAUAAUUUAUUUUUCUUGGCUAGGCUACACAUCAUUUCCAUCUUUAUUAUGAUUUUCUCGGUUUACAGCAUAUGCACAUAUAUAAAAAGAUUGUUUACAUGUCGACAAUAACAUAUAUAGUCUGAUGGUAUCAAAGGUCAAAGAUGUCAAAUAGAUCACCACUACCAAAAAUCACGAGGCUGAAAGAGUAGUUCAUGAGUAAAAAUGGCCCAUUCCAUUGCUAAGAUUUCGAUAUCUUCCUGAACACAAACCUGUCAAUGUUAGAAUACAUGAAAAGGACAGAAAGUUAUGCUAUGAUGCAUCAAUACAACAAUUUGGAAGAGAUACUCUGUCAAAUUUCUGAAGACAAAUCUCUUCAAGGUACAAAAGAGCCUCUCAAAAUUUGCUGUAGAAGGUGGUAAAGAAUGUUCUACAUUACAAAUCCUAGUGCCAAGAAUUUUGACGUGUUGUAUUUCCAGUCUCAUAAAUGGAAUGAACUAAUAGAGUUGUCAAAAACAGAUCCAAAUAGGCCAAUGAUCAAAAUAUAUGCUAAGACGCAUUUAGAUUUGGUUCCAAAUUAUGAAUCUACAUCUCCAUACGCAUCAAGUGUACAACAUAAGCAACAUCAGAAACGUCAGUAAGAGUUAUAAGAAUGCUCAGAAGCACAAAAAUACAAUACACCAAGUAAGAUAUAGUAUAAACAUCAAACUAAGCAAUGGUCCCAAUAUGGAUUAAAAACACAUACUAAUUAUUCAUAAUCCAUGUAAUGUAUGCGAGCCCCAUUGCAUUAAUUCAACUUCAUUAAAUAACUCAGAGUUAAUAUAAGAGAGAAAACUUGCUAACUGAAUAUGGAAAGGGAUGUCUGCACUCUUUCAUGUGCUAUUAGUCCAGUCUAACUUCUAUCAAUGCUAAAUGACACUCAUAGCCUGUUUGGCCAAGCUUUUUUUUGGGCCAAAAGUGAUUUUGGCCAAAAAU
rnacentral:lncRNA from 1 species